rnacentral:lncRNA from 1 species
UUAUCUUUAGUUAAAGAAAUUAAUAUCAUUAGCCUAGACUAACAACUCAUCCCAAAAUCAGAUUUUUUUUAAGAGAAAGAGGGAAGGGGGGAAGAAUGAAGAGAAGAACAAAAGCUUCGCUUACACGUUGGCUUCUCUCUUUUCUUUUUUUUUUUGGCCUACAAGGAUAUUUUAGUAAUUAUUCACACAUAAGGGUAUUUUGGUCAUGUUUGUCCAACUUUAAAUUAAACACACUUAAUUUAAUAAUCUCAAUCCAAAAUCACUUGAUAAAAUAC